rnacentral:piRNA from 2 species
UGGAGUACCCUCUGACUGGAGUA